ACCGGAAGUACUGCUGUUAUUGCAAGACAGAAUCACAGACCUGAAAGGGUGCAUUUGCAGCAGCAAUCAAGAAUUAACUUUCUCUGUUGUCACUUUAUGUCCCUCUGUAGUUUUGAAUCUGUCUGUAAUCAUUUUGCCUCUCUUUGUGGUCACUUCCUGUCUCUUUUUAGUCAUUUUGUGUCUCUCUGUAGUCAUUUUGCAUCUUUGUAGUCUUGUUUCGCACUGUACUAGCUUUGCAUCUCUUUGUAGUUGUUUUGUGUUUCUUUGUGGUUGUUUUGUGCCCCCCUGUAGUCCCUUUGCCUCUGUUUAAGGACAUGUUAUGUCUCUUUCUUUUCAUUUUGUGUGUCUUUGUAGUCGUUUUGCAUCUCUGUAGUCAUUUUGUGUCUCUGUGUAGUUGUUAUGAAUCCCUUCAAAGUUGUUUUGCAUCUCUUUGAAGUUGUUUUGUGUCCCAUCGUGGUCGUUUUUUAGUCUCUUUAUGUAGUUAUUUUGUGUCUCUCUGCAGUCGUUUUGCAUAUCUUUGUAGUUGUUUUGUGUUCCUUUGUAGUCACUGUGCAUCUCUGUAGUCUUUUUAGGUCUCUUAGUAAUAAUUUUGCAUCCCUCUGUCAUCAUUUUGUCUCUCUCUGCCAUUGUUUUGUGUCUCUUUGUAGCUGUUUUGUGUCUCUUUGAGGGCGACUGAUUAACUUCCCAACAAGAAAUGUUAACUGUCACUUCAAACAGAGGCUCAGUAGGCUCCUUCAGUAAUCAGUUCAUCUCUCAGGAGUCAGGAAAGCUCCCAAAUAAACCCUGUGAUUUCACAGGUGAGUUAUUCUGCAGAGGCACGACUCUCUUUGUCAGGGUGGAGCUACACUUGGUGUGUCCAACCCCACAGCAACAAGGAGGAGGAUGCAACUUGACACCUUGUGGAGGAGUGAAAAAAAUAACUGUGGUGCACAUUAACUACACAGGGUGAUACUGGGAGGACAAACUGGUGUUGCUAGCAGGCCUGGAAACAGGGACUCUGCUGUCUCCACAGUGAUCCCAUUGAGUGUGCACACAAUGCACAGAGUGAUGUGAGACGCCGGCUUCACCUGAGGACAGUCCAGCGGGAUCAUGGGUAGAAACGGGAGGAAGCGGGAACAAUGGAGGGAGAGACUGAAAAGAAAGUGAAGACCCCUGAGAAAUGCAGGGCGUAGGUCUGGCUGAACUGGAAACCUGGCUUAAAUUCACGCACACACAGACAGAAACACACCUUUUUGUACAUUCGAUAAGUGUCAGCUAUCUCUCAGCCAUCUCUACAGUAUGCAAUCCCCUGUUACUGUAUUGUAAAAUUCCUCUGGUGAGCAUUAUUCUCCCUGUAGGAUCAGAUCACACAGUCACACUGACCUGGUUUGGUGCCUCACCCAGCUCCACCCACCCCCUGUCCUGCACACACACAAUCACAAAAAAAGGUGACAAUGAUCUACAAGGUGCUGAGAUCAUCUACGUGACCAGAUUGAACUUUAACAGCCAGUAAAGGAGGAGAUGUAAUUUCUGGGUUGAGGCUGGUUGAUUACAUUCUUGGACUAUGCAGCGUGAAAACUUUCUUUUGUAAUCUGAAUACAGAAGUUAGCACCUGUCCAGCUUCUGACACAAUAACAUAAAUACCUUUGCUCUGCUCAGCUGUUCACAAUGAGGUUGAAUCAAGUCCAACAAAGUCCCAACAACAAAAGAAAAAUACAUUUCCUCUCUACCAAAGGCUCCUCUUUAUUACUGGACUAUUGUGCUGGAUUCCAUUAGACUGUAAAGGUGUUUGUGGAAACAUUGCAAA